UCUCCUGUAACAAAAAAGAAAAGAAAAAAAAAAGGGGGGGAGGGGAGGAAAUGAGAAACAUAUUGAACAAUUCCAGUUUCUGAAUUCUGCAAGGCUCUCUUCCCAUUGCUCUUGCUGGAGUAUACACUUUUGGAGCAUGAAAAAACACCUCAACUGUUGACCUCAGAGCUUGUCUAAUUUGACAGCCUACUCAGGUCUUAGCUCUGCAAUUUAUGCCAAACCAGAGUAUCCCCAUUUUGCUGUGUGGACAAUCCCUGUCUGAAGACUCCACAGGUCUUUGCUGUAAACAUAGUCUGUGGAAGCCUGAAGUGAUGCAGGUGUAUGUAUGUGCAUCACCUCAGGCUGUCAGACUGUCCAUCACACACAGUGAUUAGAAGAGAAAAACAGAGAGCAGAAAACCCACGGAGGAAGCAGCAGUGUCCUGCCAUUCAAGUGCCUACCUGCAUACCAAUCCUAAUUAAAUUUAACAGCGUCUUUUGAGUUACUAUGCAAAAAGCUAUUGCAUAUUCAACCUGUGCUAUUGAAAGGUAUGUAAUUGCCAGAAAGAAUGCUUUUAGAAAAAAAAAUUGUUCAUGUUGAAAUGCAUAUCUUUUUCUGCAAGUUUGUGUUACUGUUGUAGAAAAGUAGAUUUUAUUCCAAAUUCCUGCCUUUUUCUUUCUUCUGCUUCUUGUGAUUGCACUGAGCAUCCCAAUUAGAUACAAUAUAUAUAUGUAUGCUAUUUGUUUGUUGUUGUACAGUGAUUCCAAAAAGAUCCCUAAGCUUUGAAUCAGGGGCCUUAUUUCUACAUAUACAUAUUCCUGAAAAUCCAAAUUAUGAAUAAUAGUGAUGGUUGGAACUGAAACUGCACUGUCUGCACUAGGUCUGCAGUAAGCCAUAAUGCUUCUGUUUAUCUCAUUAGCUGCAAGAUGUCGAUUCACAUUUUAAUAAGUAAUCACGUGAUCAAUUUAUUGUUGAUGUGCAGUUCUAGCUGACCUUUUCUAGUUUUAACCAAGCUCAGUUUCAGUGGUUUUGCAGUACUUUAAGCAGCAGGAAAAAAAAGGGUUCUGACACAGCAAAAGGACUGGUGCCUGUCCCCUCACUGUGUUUAUGCUGAUGAAUUGCCGUGCUGUAAUUUGCUGAAUCAAAUUCUCUGCUGAAAGGUGAAGACUUACUUUUGCUGUACAUCUGAACACGGUGAGUUCUGCAGCCCUUUGAGGUUUUGUAAGGGUGUCCUCUGAAAAGAAAGCUGGAGGGCUGCUAAAUCACUCCUUCCUCCUUCCCAUUAAAACACUAAUAAGCUGUGGGAUAAGAACACCUGCAGACAGGGUAUGAAGUUGGCUUUGGCAAGUCUAUACUAAGUGUCAUUCCAAAUAAAUCGCUGGAGAAACGGCAGUUUAUAAAAAUCCACAUCACACUGGAAUGGGGAUUGGAAAAGCCAGAGAUGUUGUGGGAAACUGGUUUCUAUUUGGAGACAGCCACAGCUUUCAAUAUUUAGGGAGGAAGCACGUUACUGUUCAUAAUUGUACGCCCACACGUAUAUUUAAGGAUGAAUGUUGCAGAACAGAGGUAGGAUCUGACUCGAAGCCACUUGAUGACACAGCUGCUCUAGCCCAGUUCUCACUUCAAUAUCCAUGGGGUGAGUGGCUGCUGCUGCAGCAAUUCAGAUUCAUCUGUAAUCACUGAUGGCUUCAGAAGCAAUCGGCCAGGCCUGGCAAUGCUGAGGUAAAUGUCAACUUAUCCUUUGCUGUGGGAUCAGGACAUGUCCUCACAAAAGUUUCAUGGGGAGCAAAAGGGAUGUGAUGUUUUCUCAUCAACUGCAUCAUGAUCAUAACGUUGACCAGUUCCUCAGGGCUGAGCCUGGACCUAUAUAUAUAUAGUUCAUGGCUGAACUUGCAAAGCAUGAGAGCCCAGCUCAGAGCAAUACUGGACUUGUGUCUCCUGCUACUGACAAACACAAAAACACAAAGCAUAUGAAGCGUGCUUGACUGGCAGGCUCAGAUAUAAAAAGGGUGGUGGUGAAUUCCUGGCAAACUGUUGUGGACUUUAAAAAAAAUCUCUGGAAUUCAAACUACAACUUUAACUACGGUUUCUUGAUGGAGAUUGAUUAGCUUUUCCUGGUUUUCAUUCUUCCCACAGCUCUUACUGUUUAGGGAUGCCAAAUACCUCGAGCCAUGGCCACUUGCAGAUGAAGAAAAUGUGUACCAGCCGGAGCUCUAAGGAGGAAUGGGAAAGCCUUUUGCCACUUACAGGAUGCCUUGCUGCUGUGUAUCAAUGGCUGAUGUCCCGUUGCUGUUACAGAUACAUAAAAUCCACUGCUGGCAGGAAUGAGCCUUUAGUUUUCAGGAACAGUCAGAGACCCCUACUUCAGCUGCAAACAACGUGCAGAGUUUGAUGCUGGUGGCUGGAAGACUACAAGAAACGAGUUAAUAAAGAGCUGUCAUCAGCAUAA